UAGGUGAACCUGCGGAGGGAUCAUUACACAAUAAAAUACGAAGGCCGUUCGCGGCUGGACUAUUUUAUUACCCUUGUCUUUUGCGCACUUGUUGUUUCCUGGGCGGGUUCGCUCGCCACCAGGACCACAAUAUAAACCUUUUUUAUGCAGUUGCAAUCAGCGUCAGUAUAACAAAUGUAAAUCAUUUACAACUUUCAACAACGGAUCUCUUGGUUCUGGCAUCGAUGAAGAACGCAGCGAAAUGCGAUACGUAGUGUGAAUUGCAGAAUUCAGUGAAUCAUCGAAUCUUUGAACGCACAUUGCGCCCUUUGGUAUUCCAAAGGGCAUGCCUGUUCGAGCGUCAUUUGUACCCUCAAGCUUUGCUUGGUGUUGGGCGUUUUUGUCCCCCCCAAAAAGGGGACUCGCCUUAAAAGGAUUGGCAGCCGGCCUACUGGUUUCGCAGCGCAGCACAUUUUUGCGCUUGCAAUCAGCAAAAGAAGACGGCAAUCCAUCAAGACUCCUUCUCACGUUUGACCUCGGAUCAGGUAGGAUAC
rnacentral:sRNA from 1 species